UUUUAUUUUUUUAUUUUGUUUAAAUAUUCGAGGGAUUGAGAAAGUUUUGUGCGAUUUUUUUUGUGAAAGAAUCUUCAUACUGGAUAGCACUUUCUAUGAUGUUUCGGUUUGGGUCUAUCUCCAGUGUGUAUUUUGAUGUCAGCAGAAGAACCUUAUCUUUUUCAUCCAGCUGAGGUUUUGGCUCUGUCCAGUUCAACAAGCUCAAGAUAACCUAAGGAGAGAGUAAAGAAAUUGUUAAUUUAAUCUACAUAUAAAGAAGAUUGAGUUGCUGUGUACCAGUUAUUAUCUGAAAGCAUCACCAGGCACUGGUUUGUUACAGUAGCUAGUCUUGAU